ACCCUUGACCACGGUAUAGUCAGCGACUGGGGUGAAGUCGUAACAAGGUAGCCGUAGGGGAACCUGCGGCUGGAUUACCUCCUUUCUAAGGAUGAAUGAAAGUAAAAUUUCAUUCUAAAUAAUAUACAUCGGUAAUGUUGACCGUCCUCAUUUCUCUUCUUAAAGUAAUGUUUCCUUCUUGUAGGGCCGGUAGCUCAGUUGGUUAGAGCACACCCUUGAUAAGGGUGGGGUCGAAAGUUCGAGUCUUUCUCGGCCCACCAUACUUAACUGGGGGAUUAGCUCAGCUGGGAGAGCGCCUGAUUUGCAUUCAGGAGGUCAGCGGUUCGAUCCCGCUAUCCUCCACCAGGAAACAUUUAAUUAUAAAAACUGUAAAUAAAUUAAUAAUUAAUAUCAAUAUCUAUAUCCGAACAUUAGUAAUGUUAUUAGCUAAUGUUCAAAAUAAAAAUUUGAUCACAACAUAGAUUAAUUUUCUUUUAAAAGAAUUUUUUUCUGUGCAUAAAUCAAGCGUUUAAGGGCGUGUAGUGGAUGCCUUGGCACUGAAAGCCGAUGAAGGACGUGAUAUACUGCGAUAAGUUUCGGGGAGCUGUAUGUAAGUUUUGAUCCGAAAAUUU
rnacentral:misc_RNA from 1 species